GACAACAGUUGGAAACGACUGCUAAUACCCUAUGAGCCCUAUGGGGGAAAGAUUUAUCGCCAUGAGAUGUGCCCGCGUUAGAUUAGCUAGUUGGUAAGGUAAUGGCUUACCAAGGCGACGAUCUAUAGCUGGUCUGAGAGGAUGAUCAGCCACACUGGGACUGAGACACGGCCCAGACUCCUACGGGAGGCAGCAGUGGGGAAUAUUGGACAAUGGGGGCAACCCUGAUCCAGCCAUGCCGCGUGUGUGAUGACGGCCUUAGGGUUGUAAAGCACUUUCAGCAGUGAAGAUAAUGACAUUAACUGCAGAAGAAGCCCCGGCUAACUUCGUGCCAGCAGCCGCGGUAAUACGAAGGGGGCUAGCGUUGUUCGGAAUCACUGGGCGUAAAGAGUACGUAGGC
rnacentral:rRNA from 1 species